rnacentral:rRNA from 1 species
AGUGAACGCUGGCGGUAGGCCUAACACAUGCAAGUCGAACGGCAGCACAGUAAGAGCUUGCUCUUACGGGUGGCGAGUGGCGGACGGGUGAGGAAUACAUCGGAAUCUACUUUUUCGUGGGGGAUAACGUAGGGAAACUUACGCUAAUACCGCAUACGACCUACGGGUGAAAGCAGGGGUUCUUCGGACCUUGCGCGAUUGAAUGAGCCGAUGUCGGAUUAGCUAGUUGGCGGGGUAAAGGCCCACCAAGGCGACGAUCCGUAGCUGGUCUGAGAGGAUGAUCGGCCACACUGGAACUGAGACACGGUCCAGACUCCUACGGGAGGCAGCAGUGGGGAAUAUUGGACAAUGGGCGCAAGCCUGAUCCAGCCAUACCGCGUGGGUGAAGAAGGCCUUCGGGUUGUAAAGCCCUUUUGUUGGGAAAGAAAAGCAGCAGGUUAAUACCCCGCUGUUCUGACGGUACCCAAAGAAUAAGCACCGGCUAACUUCGUG